rnacentral:rRNA from 1 species
AUUGAACGCUGGCGGAAUGCUUUACACAUGCAAGUCGAACGGUAGAGGGGGCAACCCCUCGAGAGUGGCGAACGGGUGAGUAAUAUAUCGGAACGUGCCCAGUCGUGGGGAUAACGUAGCGAAAGUUACGCUAAUACCGCAUACGAUCUAAGGAUGAAAGCGGGGGAUCGCAAGACCUCGCGCGAUUGGAGCGGCCGAUAUCAGAUUAGGUAGUUGGUGGGGGUAAAGGCUCACCAAGCCAACGAUCUGUAGCUGGUCUGAGAGGACGACCAGCCACACUGGAACUGAGACACGGUCCAGACUCCUACGGGAGGCAGCAGUGGGGGAAUUUUGGACAAUGGACGAAAGUCUGAUCCAGCCAUUCCGCGUGCAGGAUGAAGGCCCUCGGGUUGUAAACUGCUUUUGUACGGAACGAAAGGUUUACUCUUAAUACGAGGAGCUCAUGACGGUACCCGUAAGGAAUAAAGCACCGGCUAACUACGUGCCAGCAGCCGCGGUAA